rnacentral:sRNA from 17 species
AUGAAAUCUAGAUUGUUUGUUUGCUGUUUCCCAAUCCGUCUUGAUUUUACCUCUUUCCUCUUGAUGUGUGUUUGGGUGUGGCUGCCGCCACCCCUUUUUUUU